GUCCUAGCCCUAAACGAUGUAUGCUUGGUGUCUGGAGUUUUAAAUCUCCGGGUGCCGUCGCUAACGCUUUUAGCAUACCGCCUGGGGAGUACGCACGCAAGUGUGAAACUCAAAGGAAUUGACGGGGACCCCGCACAAGCGGUGGAGCAUGUGGUUUAAUUCGACGCAACGCGAAGAACCUUACCUGGACUAGAAUGUGAGGGAAUGUUACCUAAUAGUAACAGUCUGAGCAAUCAGACCCAAAACAAGAUGCUGCAUGGCUGUCGU
rnacentral:rRNA from 1 species